GUCCCUUCGGGGACAUCCGAUAAAAUUGGAAUGAUACAGAGAAGAUUAGCAUGAUCCAUGCGCAAAGAUGACACGCACAACAAAUAUUCAUCAUAACAGUUAUUU
rfam:Medicago truncatula strain A17 chromosome 6, whole genome shotgun sequence.